UCCUAAGAAAUCUGGUCAUGAUUCAAGCCGAGACCUUAGCGUUCCUGUGUUGAUUCGGACUAUUAGAAGAUUGACAAAGGAGAAGGUGCUAAAAAAGGACGAAAAUAUCAACCAGCUCACAAAUGAUUUGCAAGAAUGCAUGAAGGAACUUGGCAUUGUGAAGGGGAUACUACCAAAAGUAUUUCAGGAGAGGGAUUUCAUGUGGGAG